rnacentral:rRNA from 1 species
GCAGUCGAACGAUGAACCACUUCGGUGGGGAUUAGUGGCGAACGGGUGAGUAACACGUGGGCAAUCUGCCCUGCACUCUGGGACAAGCCCUGGAAACGGGGUCUAAUACCGGAUACUGACCUUCACAGGCAUCUGUGAUGGUCGAAAGCUCCGGCGGUGCAGGAUGAGCCCGCGGCCUAUCAGCUUGUUGGUGAGGUAGUGGCUCACCAAGGCGACGACGGGUAGCCGGCCUGAGAGGGCGACCGGCCCACACUGGGACUGAGACACGGCCCAGACUCCUACGGGAGGCAGCAGUGGGGAAUAUUGCACAAUGGGCGAAAGCCUGAUGCAGCGACGCCGCGUGAGGGAUGACGGCCUUCGGGUUGUAAACCUCUUUCAGCAGGGAAGAAGCGAAAGUGACGGUACCUGCAGAAGAAGCGCCGGCUAACUACGUGCCAGCAGCCGCGGUAAUACGUAGGGCGCGAGCGUUGUCCGGAAUUAUUGGGCGUAAAGAGCUCGUAGGCGGCUUGUCACGUCGGUUGUGAAAGCCCGGGGCUUAACCCCGGGUCUGCAGUCGAUACGGGCAGGCUAGAGUUCGGUAGGGGAGAUCGGAAUUCCUGGUGUAGCGGUGAAAUGCGCAGAUAUCAGGAGGAACACCGGUGGCGAAGGCGGAUCUCUGGGCCGAUACUGACGCUGAGGAGCGAAAGCGUGGGGAGCGAACAGGAUUAGAUACCCCUGGUAGUCCACCGCCGUAAACGGUGGGC